UCUCUGAUAGUAUAUCGGUUAGUACACGCGCCUGUCAUUUAAUGUUAGCCUCGAUCGCGCGAAAGCUGGGUUCGACUCCCAGUCAGAGAG